rnacentral:rRNA from 1 species
UACGUAGGGUGCAAGCGUUGUCCGGAAUUAUUGGGCGUAAAGAGCUUGUAGGCGGUUUGUCGCGUCUGCUGUGAAAUUUCGGGGCUCAACCCCGAACUUGCAGUGGGUACGGGCAGACUAGAGUGUGGUAGGGGGAGACUGGAAUUCCUGGUGUAGCGGUGAAAUGCGCAGAUAUCAGGAGGAACACCGAUGCGAAGGCAGGUCUCUGGGCCAUAACUGACGCUGAGGUGCGAAAAGCGUGGGGGAGCAAACAGGAUU